rnacentral:rRNA from 1 species
UAGUCCACGCCGUAAACGAUGAGUGCUAGCUGUUGGGACCUCAGGUCUCAGUGGCGCCGCUAACGCAUUAAGCACUCCGCCUGGGGAGUACGGCCGCAAGGUUAAAACUCAAAGGAAUUGACGGGGACCCGCACAAGCGGUGGAGCAUGUGGUUUAAUUCGAGGCAACGCGAAGAACCUUACCAGACCUUGACAUGCCGGUCGCGGAUUAGAGAGAUCUUUUCCUUCAACUCGGUUGGACCGUGCACAGGUGCUGCGCGGCUGUCGUCAGCUCGUGUCGUGAGAUGUUGGGUUAAGUCCCGCAACGAGCGCAACCCUCAUUGUUAGUUGUCAGCAUUUAGUUGGACACUCUAACGAAACUGCCGGGGUUAACCCGGAGGAAGGUGGGGAUGACGUCAAGUCUUCAUGGCCCUUACGGUCUGGGCUACACACGUGCUACAAUGGUAGUGACAGCGCGCAGCCACUCCGCGAGGAGGAGCUAAUCGCUAAAAACUAUCUCAGUUCGAUUGC